UACGUAGGGCGCAAGCGUUGUCCGGAAUUAUUGGGCGUAAAGAGCGCGCAGGCGGUCGUGCAAGUCGCGUGUGAAAGCCCCCCGGCUCAACUGGGGAGGGUCACGCGAUACUGCUCGACUUGAAGGCAGGAGAGGGAAGUGGAAUUCCCGGUGUAGUGGUGAAAUGCGUAGAUAUCGGGAGGAACACCUGUGGCGAAAGCGGCUCACUGGACCACAACUGACGCUGAGGCGCGAAAGCUAGGGGAGCAAACAGG
rnacentral:rRNA from 1 species